GGACAUGUAAAUUAUGUGCCAGGAAAUGAAUUCUUUAUAAUGUCCCUUGCCAGAAGCUAAAUUGUAGCAAAUUUUGUGAUCCUGUAUAUCCCAGUAUGUGUAAGGCCAUGGACAAAACCUGUACUGGUUCCCAUGAAGAAUUCUGUGGGUAAAAGCACUGGAUACUUCCACAUGCAAGGUGGAUAUGAGAGAGAUAACAUAAACAAGAGCAAACUUUAAACAGAGAUCGAAGGAGGUAUCAGGCUUUUGAAAUUACCUGGAUUGCUGAAGACUAAUCUCCACAAAGAGCAGCAGUCAAGACUUUAAUACUUAGGAAAUUUUGUGCAGAAGAGAUGCAGGAUCUAUAUCCUUCAGCUUUUUUUCAUAUGGCUGACUACACUCAAAGACAGAGGGACGGAUGAGAGGACAGACAGCUGGGACUGAGCUUACUAGACACUGCUAACACAGCAAGAUCCUACCAACAGCAAUCACCAAAACUUUAGCGAUCCUCAUUUUUUUGUCAGUCCUUCAUGCAAGAAACUACACUGCGGUUAGACCAUCUACAACAUGUGCUGCGUAUGUGUGAAAGGGACAAAUGGAAAACACAGGGGGGCCUCAGGAGCUCCAAAAAUGCCAAUAUUAGAUGAGAGCACAGCAACACAUCUGUGGGGACAGCAGCUCUUCUGGGUUAUUCUUUACGGAGUGAGGAGUGACAGCCCUUGUCCUUCACAGUCAUUUGGCUUUUCUCUCGUAUUCUCUCUGCUGCUUUUAGUUUAUCCAGGGGCUAUGCCUCCUAUUCUCCUGUCGACUGCUUUCAUCAUCUGUCAGUUCUACCAUAUGGUCCUAAACCUUGUCAGGGAAGAUCCACCUUCAGGUUGAAACAAACCAAACAUAUGGAAUACUGUUUCGGAGGUGGGGGUUAAAACCAUCUUUAGAUGAUUAGUAACCCUGGUUACUAUUUUGAGUUCUUAGAGAAAGCAAUUUGCAAUGAUCAAUAAACUGCCCAGCACGCUUUGGGAAAUGGAAAAUUCAAUCUCUGUGUAAUAGUUUAUUCUGUAACAAAGAGUGUAAUUUUUUGAUUUAAAACUAAUCUGUCUAUAGUAACGCACCUUGUCUCAAACCCAAGCCAAGCAGUUGAUUUUUCAGAAUAGUAUCUUGUUUUGAGCCAGUUCAAACUCUUUCAGUAGCCAUGUGAGCUUCCCACAGUGUCUCUUGGGAAGUGUAGACCAGAGUUUUCCCCUUUGAACUGGUCUACCCUGUCUGGUAAAUCUCCCAAAUGCUUUAACAUCUUCCCUCUAGUUAACACUCAAAAGUGAACUAUGGAAGAAAGCACAUGAAUGGUGUCUGACAGGAUAAAUGGAGUAAGAAGAGAGCCCAGCUUACUGGAAGUGAUAAAUAUUUUAUAAGAAUAAAAGAAUAAUUAUACUUGGUCAGAUAAAAAGUUAAUUUAGCAUUCAUUUGUGCUUUUGACAUUGGUCAGCAGAAGGGGCAAAAAGAAACAACAAAAUUAGAGGCUAAUUGCUUCUUCUGGUUUAUUGUCUCAGCUUCCAAAAAUGUGCCAUUUCUGGGACUUCUUGAUCUUGAUCUGGAUUGCAUCCAGAGCACUAUGUCUAAUAUCUACUUUAUGCAUCUUCAAAUAAAUAUUUCAAUCUGUUUUUUAAAUCAAUUUAUACUUUUGGCCUUCAGAACGCCCUGCAACAACAAAAGUUUCAAUUUAAUUAUGCAUAGUGUGAAAUAGGGACUUUCCUUCAUUCAUUUCAAAACUUCAAUUUUAAAUUGGUAUUGGGUGUCUUCCAGUUCUUUCACUGAGAAACAGUGAAUAAUGAUUCCCUAGCUAUCAUUCCAAUCACAGUUUUUCAAAAUUAUCUCAUAACGCUCUCAUUGUGUCUUCUAUUUAUCCUCUCAUCCUGCGGAAAUGGUUCAUAUCUUUGAUCUUCCUGGUCCUCUUGCAUAUCUCUUGAACUAAAUUCCCAUGAGACUCUUGAAGAAGCUCAGGGGACAAAAACUGACACCGAAUUAAUUUAAAACAAAACAUUCAAAAAAAACCUACAUAAUACUGUUGACCCCUUUCUGUGUAUUUUGCAUAUUUUAGUUCAGUCCUCUAUAGGUAUGAAAAUAGUUACACUGAUUUAACAUUUUUUCUGGGAAUAAGAAUUAUAAUUUCAAUCAGUUUUAUCAGAAGUUUUCCUAAACGCAGUUAAAUACAUAUUUUUGCAGAUCCAUAUUGACAUCAAGAUUAAAGUUCAAUUUGCCACAAAAUUCAAACAAUCUCCAUAAAAAAUCACCAAAUGUGGAAGUAAACCUGACUGCAGGC